ensembl:lncRNA
CAUAGAACAGAACAAUAAUAUGUUACAGAAUUAUAACAUAGAACAGAACAAUAACAUGGAACAAAAUAGUAAUAUAGAACAAAAUUGGAAUGAGCAUGGUAUUAUGGGUAAUGUAUUUAAAAACGAACUUAUCGAAAAUGUUGUUACGAUUAAUGAACAAGUUAAUAAUAAUAUAACAGCAAAUAAUCAGAAUAUUGAAAUGGUUAACACUGUUGUUAAUAUGGGUGGGGAGAAUGAUGGUACUAUUAUUACAACCCCUACUGAUGUUAUUACACCCCCCACUGAUGUUAUUACACCCCCUGCUGAUGUGACUAAUUCCGAUGAUGAUGUGACUAGUACACUUCCAAAUAAAUCAGAUGAAAUAUUAUUAAAUCAAAAUGAAGAGGUAGUUAAUGGUACAUUAAAUGAUUAUACUUAUGAAAACAAACAUGAUGAAAAAUCAGAAAAUAAGGAUAGUUUUUCUUUUAAAUUAGAAGAUGAUAAAAAUUUAAAUGAAAGUAAGUUAGAUAGACGUGUAACAUGGGAAGUAAACAAAGAAGAUAUUAAAGAAGAUAGUGAUGGAGAAAAAAAUAGUAAUAGCAAUAGCGAAAACAGUAAGAAAAGCCAUAGCGAAGAAAGUAGUAAUUUCGCUGACGAAAACAAUAGUAAUGAUGGUGACGAAAACAGUAGUAAUGAUGGUGACGAAAACAGUAGUAAUGAUGGUGACGAAAACAAUAGUAAUGAUGGUGACGAAAACAGUAGUAAUGAUGGUGACGAAAACAGUAGUAAUGAUGGUGACGUAAACGAUUAUCAAAACAACAGUGAUUAUUCAGUGUCGGAAAAAAUAAAUAAAAGUAAAAGUAAAAAUUUGAUAAAACUAAAUAACAGUUAUAAAUCAAAUAAUAAAUAUGAAUAUGACUCAAAUAACUCAUCAGGUUAUGAUAGUAUAGAUUCUAAUUUGAUUAUUAAUAUUUUAAAAUACGAUAAACAAAAAGAUAAUAAAGAUACUAUUAAAAAUGAUUUAGAGAAACUUUUGUCAUGUAAUAAUAAUUGUUCUGUUGAAAAUCACAACGAAGAAAAAAAGUUGUUUAUAAAUCAUGUUCAAAUGCUAUGUUAUUUAAUAAAACAUAAAAAAAUUAAUAGUAAUAAAAAUAUAAUGAAAACAUGGGAAAAAAAAAAAUAUGAUUUUAAAUGUUGUCAACUUCAAAAAGCAUAUAAAAUAUUUUUAACAAUUAUAUAUUCAAUUGUUAAAGAAAUUAAAAAGUUAAGAAAAGAAUUAAAAUGUAUGCGUAAUUAUAUAUUUAUUAACUUAGACAUUGAAAAAUAUUUAAAUGAAAAUAACAUGUCUAUUAUUAAAAACAAAAUUAAUGACGUUAAUGAUGUUGUAAAAAAUGGGAGUAGUAAAGAUAAUCGUGAAAAUAAUAGUAAUAGUUAUAGUAACAAUAUAAUAACAGAUUUUUUUUUAAAAAAAAACUUCUGUACAACUAUAAAUGGAAAGGAAUGUGAAAAAAAAAAAAUAUAUAUCUCAUAUGUAUCAUUAGACAAUUAUCAAAUAUUGUUUUAUAGUUUAAAAGAUAUAGUACGUAUAAAAAAUAUUCAAAAACAUUUGAAAAAAAUUUCAUAUUACAUAGAGUACAAUAUUGAUGAAGGUGUUACACCUAGUAUCGCACCGACAAGUGCCGUAGGUACUUUUACUCAUUCUACAAAUUUUACAAAUACUGGUAUGGAUGUUGUUACAAAUAGUGACGCUGAUAAUGGUAAUAAAAAUAAAACAACAACUAGUACAGGCAUAGGUACAGGUAUAGGUACGGGCACAGGCACAGGUAUGGGUACCUCAAGAAACGUAAAUAUCCCCAAUUAUUGUAGUAUGUUUUAUGAAAAGUUUAAAAUAAAAGAGUACGAUUUAUACCAUAUUCAAAGUUUAUUUAAUUGUUCUAUACCGACAGUAGAAUGUAUGAACAUGUUUAUUUCUUGCUUAAACUGUAAUUAUAAAAAAGUUUAUCAAAAAAAAAAUAUUUUACAAAAUGAGUUGAGUGCUGACUACUUAUAUACACUCCCUUCUGUAUAUUGUUGUGAAAUACAAAUAAUAAAACAUCAAGAUUUUAUAGAUUUAAAAGAAACAUGUCAAAAUUUAAUUAAAAAAAAAAAUAUAUACGAAAAAUUAUUAUAUCAUAAGAGGACAUAUAUAUAUGAUGACUGUUAUUUUAUCAUUCCGUUUUUUACAUCUUAUGGUAACUUUUUAAUAAUAAUUCAAAUAAAUAAAAAAGGAAGUUUAAAUAGUUCAACAAGAGAUACAAACCUAUUUACUUAUGAUUUUAUAAUUAACAGUUAUGUUUUUCCUAAUAAUAGUAGCUUUCAAGCAAUUGUGCAUUUUACCUACUCUUUUAUCAAGUCAUUAAAAAAAUGUUUCAAAACCAGAAAGUCGGAUGAAAAUGUCCCUAACAUAACAUAUUUGAAUCUCCCACACGUAAACAAGGAAAAACUUAUAUACAAAGUAAUGAAACUAUGUAAAAA